rnacentral:rRNA from 1 species
AUUGAACGCUGGCGGAAUGCUUUACACAUGCAAGUCGAACGGCAGCACGGACUUCGGUCUGGUGGCGAGUGGCGAACGGGUGAGUAAUGUAUCGGAACGUGCCCAGUCGUGGGGGAUAACGUAGUGAAAAUUACGCUAAUACCGCAUACGAUCUAUGGAUGAAAGCGGGGGAUCGCAAGACCUCGCGCGAUUGGAGCGGCCGAUAUCAGAUUAGGUAGUUGGUGGGGUAAAGGCCCACCAAGCCAACGAUCUGUAGCUGGUAUGAGAGGACGACCAGCCACGCUGGAACUGAGACACGGUCCAGACUCCUACGGGAGGCAGCAGUGGGGAAUUUUGGACAAUGGGAGAAAGCCUGAUCCAGCCAUUCCGCGUGCAGGAUGAAGGCCCUCGGGUUGUAAACUGCUUUUGUACAGAACGAAAAGGUUUCUACUAAUACUAGGAGCUCAUGACGGUACUGUAAGAAUAAGCACCGGCUAACUACGUGCCAGCCGCCGCGGUAA